rnacentral:rRNA from 1 species
UGCAGUCGAGCGAACAGAUAAGGAGCUUGCUCCUUUGACGUUAGCGGCGGACGGGUGAGUAACACGUGGGUAACCUACCUAUAAGACUGGAAUAACUCCGGGAAACCGGGGCUAAUGCCGGAUAACAUUUAGAACCGCAUGGUUCUAAAGUGAAAGAUGGUUUUGCUAUCACUUAUAGAUGGACCCGCGCCGUAUUAGCUAGUUGGUAAGGUAAUGGCUUACCAAGGCAACGAUACGUAGCCGACCUGAGAGGGUGAUCGGCCACACUGGAACUGAGACACGGUCCAGACUCCUACGGGAGGCAGCAGUAGGGAAUCUUCCGCAAUGGGCGAAAGCCUGACGGAGCAACGCCGCGUGAGUGAUGAAGGGUUUCGGCUCGUAAAACUCUGUUAUUAGGGAAGAACAAACGUGUAAGUAACUGUGCACGUCUUGACGGUACCUAAUCAGAAAGCCACG